GCACAAGCGGUGGAUGAUGUGGUUAAUUUCGAUGCAACGCGAAAACCUUACCACCUUUGACAUGUACGGAAUCCUUUAGAGAUAGAGGAGUGCUCGAAAGAGAACCGUAACACAGGUGCUGCAUGGCUGUCGUCAGCUCGUGUCGUGAGAUGUUGGGUUAAGUCCCGCAACGAGCGCAACCCUUGUCAUUAGUUGCUACAUUCAGUUGGGCACUCUAAUGAGACUGCCGGUGACAAACCGGAGGAAGGUGGGGAUGACGUCAAGUCCUCAUGGCCCUUAUAGGUGGGGCUACACACGUCAUACAAUGGAUGGUACAAAGGGUCGCCAACCCGCGAGGGGGAGCCAAUCCCAUAAAGCCAUUCGUAGUCCGGAUCGCAGUCUGCAACUCGACUGCGUGAAGUCGGAAUCGCUAGUAAUCGUGGAUCAGAAUGUCACGGUGAAUACGUUCCCGGGUCUU
rnacentral:rRNA from 1 species